GUGCUUGCUUCAGCAGCACAUAUACUAAAAUUGGAAUGAUACAGAGAAGAUUAUUAUGGCCCCUGUGCAAGGAUGGCAUGAAAAUUCAUGAAGUGUUCCAUAUUUUU
rnacentral:snRNA from 1 species